CCCGAAACCAGACGAGCUACCCAUGAGCAGUUUAAAAGAACCAACUCAUCUAUGUGGCAAAAUAGUGAGAAGACUUGUAGGUAGAGGUGAAAAGCCUAACGAGCCUGGUGAUAGCUGG
ncrna:16S ribosomal RNA, mitochondrial from Sus scrofa (PDB 6GB2, chain BA)